rnacentral:lncRNA from 1 species
ACCUGACCUUUAAUUGAAUUCUAUAGGAAUAGACUGAAAAAUGAGCCUCUUGAUUUAUGCUAAGGAUAAAGGUUAAAAACCAUUUUCCUAGUCAACCUAAUUUUCUUGUUCUGUCGAAAUAAUAAAAUUGAAGGAAGAUUGUUCUCUAGGCAUAUUCUACCCCUCUCCCGUACACGCCCCAUUAUGCUCUGCUUCGACAAACGGGCUAACAACAGUUCAAAAUUGGGGGCACAUUCCCUCUGUGCUCUCCAGUGCUCAGCAUCUGGGUUUUCAUAACACACAAAAUAUUAUGAAAUUUCUUUCAGAAGUAAUAUUCAGAAAUAUUACUUCUGAAAGAAAUCUGAAAAGGACUGGGGUUAUGUUAACAAGCUCUGAUUUAUGAAGUUAAGGAGUUGAGAAAGAGGUUAAAAACAUACAAUCGGAUUAAAAACAACCAGAUUCAAAAAUGGGCGCACAGAGAAACAAGUAUAUGUGGAAUCUAAACAAAUCAAACUCAUAGAAGUAAAGAGCAGAAUGACAGCUUCUUGGGGGUAUGUGGUGGAGUGGGAAAAGGGGAGACAUCAGCUAAAGAAUAACAAGUUUCAGAUAGACAGGAAGAAUAAGUUUUAGUAACCUAUUGCACAGCAUGGUGACCAUAGUUAAUAAUAAUAACGUAAUUGUACAUUUUAAUGAUGCUAAGACAGUAGAUUUUAAACAUUCUCACUACCAAAAAUUAGUAGAUGAGAUGAUGGACGUAUUCCUUAGCUUGAUUUCCACAUGCAUAUGUACAUCAUUCCACUACGCCUACAUACGUCAAAGCUUCACAAUGUAUCCCAUAAAUAUGUACAAUUAUCUGUCAAUUAAAAAUAAAUAAAUAACAUAUUAUUAUCAAACAGGAUGCCCACUAUGGUUUUC